AAUAACUUAAUAUAUAUAUGUAUAUAUAAUACGUAUAUAUAUAACAAAACUGAGAUAACUUUUACCGAUAAUUUUGAAAAAUGGGUAAGUGGGGGGUCCAUAUAAUAAACAAAUUUUACAACAAACACAUCACAAAAAUUCCUUCUAUUUAUCUCAAUUCACUUGGCUUCUCAAAGCAUAUUUUUAAUAACAUUCAUCACUAAUAUUAUAACUCACAUAUUAACAACCAGAUCAUUCCAAAGAAAGAGGGGGCUUUCCGAUAAUGAUUUCUUCCUAUUGGCGCGCAAUUAGGUCCUCGACAGAACUUUUUAAACAUCAUCAAUAAUGCAAAUAAUAAUACGAAUAACUUUAUCAUCUCAAUUAAUAAUUUAAUAAUAUAAAAUAUUGUGACAAUAAUUGAAUCAAUAACGUGAUGAGAUACUAUGCAGCAAUUUCUGUGGCAAUAAUUGAACAAAACUGAGUGACUUCUCACGUAAGUAUCAAUAAUCAAAGAUCUUGUACAAUACCGUGUGCUACUAUGCAACCACACGUAUUACUGUACUUUUAUCAACGGGUAUUUCAACAGUUAAUGGUAAAAUUUUUGCCGUUAUUUUUAUAAAAAGAUAUUUCUGUCGUUUUAUAACUUCGACAAUAAUUCCGUUGUGGGGUCCACCAAUGAUUGUGUCGUCGUAUGAAUAUUUCAUGUUAAAACGAAUAUUCCCCGACCAAACGAAUAUUUUAUGACAACUUGCUUACUUUAUAAAAUUUAUAAAUAUUACCCACAACUAUAACAUUAUAUCAAAUCCACACCAUAAUAUUCAAAAUGAUAUUUAGAGAAAAUUAUUCUUUAUUCAUAAAAGUUGGGGUCUUACAUAAGAUGUUUUUAUCUUACAAUAAUCAACUAGAAAAGAAGAGUAAUGAAAAUAUGUAAUAGAGACCUUAUUAGGCAAGGGGAUCCUUUAUCCCCGUACCCUCUUUGCCCUGUUUAUUGAGUCUUUGUCUCAUAUGAUAAAUAAGUUAUGCAAACUCUUGACACCUGGUAAAAAGAGAUCCAAUUUUCUCUCAUUUGUUUUUUGCAGAUGAUAUAUUUCUUUUUUGGGUUAAUUGCAAAUUCAAAUCCGAAGUAUACACCCUUUUAUCCUUCGUACUCCGAUAUUUAAACGCUCUCAUCCCGCAACCCAAAGUACUGUUAAGUAAGUACGAUGGACCCUAUUUAGAUUUCUAGUUAAUUUUUUUUGUCGAAAAAUGGCCAUGUGUCAUAAUUAAAUAUUUAAAUAUUAUUGACCGUAUAAAUAUCGUAGUUGACUUAAUUAAUUUGUAGAAAUACAUGUGAAAUACUAGAUUAACAAAAUAAAGGGUAAAAAUUUCAAACAAUUUGGGAAUUUGAUCAAUUUAAUUCCAUUUCAUUCAACAAACCGAAACAUACAACAAAUUAGAGCAAAAAAACAAAGGGUCCUCUAAUUCCAUCUCAUUUGGUUAAUCAAACUAAGAUAAAAGUGAAAAUCUCUAUCUUUAUCUCUUUCAUUUUCAUUUGAUCUUCAUCUUCAUUAUCAACCCAAAGGCCCUCGAAUUAUGGCGAUUUUUUGUGAAAAAUCUGGAAGAUUCAAACCCAGAUCUACGAUUGGUUUUCUGCGAGACUAGUAGAGGCAAUGAUUUUGUGUGUGGGGUUCUGGAGUCAUGAUCUGAUUGGAGGACUUUGUGUUUUGGUCUGGGGUUGGGUUUGUCUUUGGUGACCUUUUGGAAGAUGGAGAUUCUCCAGAUCUAGUUUGUCUUUAUUCAACUCUGGAACUGUUCUUAUCGGUGGUUUAUUUCCAGUGGUUUCUGAUCUGGAAUUUAUGGUCUUAUUGCUUAUCUAUUUUAAUUUUUAGAUUUGGUUGUUCAUUGCCGAUUACUUGGUUUGUUAUCCAUUUAAUUUUGGAAAUAAAUCCUUUCGCUCUGGUGGUUUUCGUUUUCGUGGAUGGGUCUUGUUUUCGUAUGUUUUCAGAUCUGGAUAUUAUUAUUCAGAUUUGGAUUGUAUCUUUGAUUUCUGUUUUUCCAUGUUCAAUUUUACUUGUUUAAUCUCCUAUUGUGGUAUCUAAUUUUUUAUGGGUGCUUUGAACAAACGAGUUUUGAUUCCAUUUGAUUGAGUUUUGUGCUCCUAUGUUCUGGUUUGUCGGAAUUUUUGGUGGCAACUAGCAAUUUAAUUGUUUAUGGGUUUGAUUGCUUGGGUUGAUUUACCUCCAAAACUUGUUAUCGGAGUCUCAAAUUUAGAACCUAAAUUAUGGGCAGCAUCAGAGAGAGAAAAUGAAGUGGGUUUGAGAUUGGGCAAAAUUUUGAAGAUGAUGAAUGAAUUGGGGUUUUUAGUUUGAGAUUUUUGAGCUUCAUGAAUGGUUACAAAGGAAGAGGAUAAAUGAUUUUGGGUAUUUUAGAUUUUGAAUUUUUUUGGUUAGUUCCAUGGUAAUGGGGAAGAUGAUGAAGAUGGAGAAGAAGAGGAAAAAAACAAAAUUAGUUUGUAAAUUUGUAAUUUAUUGUAUUAGUACAUAUAAAUGUAUUACUUAAUAUAAUUAAUUAGAUUUUCAAAGGUUUUGUUCAGUUAACUGUAUAAAAAUCUGGUCAAAUUCGUAUUAUACACAGAUCACCGGAACACGUGGCAGUUUCGAUCACUUUUUUGGCUGGAAAAUACAAAAGGGUUAGUUAUGGUUACUUAACAGUACUUUGGGUAGCGGGAUGGACGCGUUUAAACAUCGGACUACGAAUGGUAAAAAGGUGUAUACUUCGGGGUUGAAUUUGUAAUUAACUCUUCUUUUUUCCAAUGCCACUGUGAAGCAAACUGAAAUUAUUAUGAAAAUUCUCAAUGAAUUCCAGGAACUAACUGUUAGCAUGAUAUACAUUGUUGGGCCCUCCAUCUAAGAGCUUAAGCUUUUAGAUGAGUUGGUUACUUAACAUGGUAUCAGAGCUCUGGGUGUGCAAGGUCUUGGGUUCAAAUUUUCCCAGCUGCACAAUUAUCUUUCUAUUAAUUUAAUAGUGCAAAUGCACUUUAAUUUCUCUCUCCUCUAUAAAAAAAAGAGUUGCAUUUGAGGGGGAGUGUUAGCUUGAUAUACAUU
rnacentral:lncRNA from 1 species